rnacentral:ncRNA from 1 species
CGGAAGCGAGAAUGUCGGCUUGAGUAACGAAAACAUUGGUGAGAAUCCAAUGCCCCGAAAACCCAAGGUUUCCUCCGCAAGGUUCGUCCACGGAGGGUGAGUCAGGGCCUAAGAUCAGGCCGAAAGGCGUAGUCGAUGGACAACAGGUCAAUAUUCCUGUACUACCCCUUGUUGGUACGGAGGGACGGAGGAGGCUAGGUUAGCCG